rnacentral:rRNA from 1 species
AGAUCAUCAUUGGGUUUAAAGCGUGCGUAGGUGGUUCGUUAAGUCUGAUGUGAAAGCCCUGGGCUCAACCUGGGAAUUGCAUUGGAUACUGGCGAGCUAGAGUGCGGUAGAGGGUAGUGGAAUUCCUGGUGUAGCAGUGAAAUGCGUAGAGAUCAGGAGGAACAUCCGUGGCGAAGGCGACUACCUGGACCAGCACUGACACUGAGGCACGAAAGCGUGGGGAGCAAACAGGAUUAGAUACCCUGGUAGUCCACGCCCUAAACGAUGCGAACUGGAUGUUGGGUUCAACUAGGAACUCAGUAUCGAAGCUAACGCGUUAAGUUCGCCGCCUGGGGAGUACGGUCGCAAGACUGAAACUUAAAAAAUUGACGG